GAUUAAGUUUGUGGAUGUCAUUGUUCGUGCCUUUCUAUCAAACCAAAAGUGAUGGCGUGUACGUCAAAUUAACCGGUCGCUUGCGUGCCGAGCUCGGCGUGCCCGUAGUUGCAGCCUAUUCAUUGAGUGUGGUAACAAAUUUCAACGAUAUCACUCAUCAUUUCCUGGACUGCAUCUAUGUUCAUCUGAUGAUGCGAAGCGACCAUGCUAAACGCGUCGUGCACUCUCUUGCUCUCGUCCCAUUUGCCGCAUCCGCACCGCUGGCUAGCACUGCACGCCAUGUGCCAGAGCGUCGUCUGAGUGUGAAGGCCGAGGAAGAAAAUCUCACUGAUAUGAUAAUGGGAUUUCUGGAGCAGCCGGGGAUCAG